rnacentral:tRNA from 1 species
GUUUGAUAGUCAAUUAUGAUUUUAAAUUGCAAAUUUAAAGGUGACGUAUGUCUCAAACCUA